rnacentral:rRNA from 1 species
CGCGUAGGCGGCCUGCUAAGUCGAACGUGAAAUCCCUGGGCUCAACCCAGGAACUGCGUCCGAUACUGGUUGGCUUGAAUCCGGGAGAGGGAUGUGGAAUUCCAGGUGUAGCGGUGAAAUGCGUAGAUAUCUGGAGGAACACCGGUGGCGAAGGCGACAUCCUGGACCGGCAUUGACGCUGAGGCGCGAAAGCCAGGGAGCAAACG